GACGUAGGAUGCAAGCGUUGUCCGGAUUUAUUGGGCGUAAAGAGUUCGUAGGUGGUUCGUUAAGUCUGAUGUUAAAGACUGGGGCUCAACCCUGGAAGUGCAUUGGAUACUGGCGGACUUGAGUGUGGUAGAGGCAAUCGGAAUUCCAGGUGUAGCGGUGAAAUGCGUAGAUAUCUGGAAGAACACCGGUGGCGCAAGCGGAUUGCUGGGCCAUAACUGACACUGAGGAACGAAAGCUAGGGGAGCGAAUGGG
rnacentral:rRNA from 1 species